GAUGAACGCUGGCGGCGUGCCUAAUACAUGCAAGUCGAGCGAACGGACGAGAAGCUUGCUUCUCUGAUGUUAGCGGCGGACGGGUGAGUAACACGUGGAUAACCUACCUAUAAGACUGGGAUAACUUCGGGAAACCGGAGCUAACACCGGAUAAUAUUUUGAACCGCAUGGUUCAAAAGAGAAAGACGGUCUUGCUGUCACUUAUAGAUGGAUCCGCGCUGCAUUAGCUAGUUGGUAAGGUAACGGCUUACCAAGGCAACGAUGCAUAGCCGACCUGAGAGGGUGAUCGGCCACACUGGAACUGAGACACGGUCCAGACUCCUACGGGAGGCAGCAGUGGGGAAUAUUCCGCAAUGGGCGAAAGCCUGACGGAGCAACGCCGCGUGAGUGAUGAAGGUCUUCGGAUCGUAAAACUCUGUUAUUAGGGAAGAACAGAUGUGUAAGUAACUGUGCACAUCUUGACGGUACCUAAUCAGAAAGCCACGGCUAACUACGUG
rnacentral:rRNA from 1 species